CUCACCACUUAUCCCUUUGCUCCCCAACUUUAAUUCUUUUCAUUUUUUCUUCUAAACUUGCUAUAAAUUUUGUCAUUCCAUGAUUCCAUCUCACAACUCUAGAGUUUUAUUUACAGAACACAAUAAUUAAACAGAUCGGGUUAAGGUCAAACUCUUUAAACCCAUUUAAUGUCUUUAAUCGAUACAAAGCCGACACAACAUGUUUGUCACGUCUAGCCACAUACAAGUUUUUCACUAAAACAUUAAUACAUUUAUCGAUCUCUAUUGAUAACCGAAUUUUCUUAUUUUUUGAAUUCUAACUUGAAAUCGUCCACCAUAAAUCAUACCUACAACUUGUCACCAAGUAUAAGCUAUUAUCAUAAGUAGAUAAUGAUGACCCUUAAUUUUUAUAUAUUAGAGCAAGAGCUAAAAAUUAACUUUGUUUUAUGCUUUCAUAUACACCAAUUUCUCAGGUAAUCUCUUAUUUGUUUAAAAUUCUUGCUUUUGAUUCAAGACCCAUCCAGUUAUUUUGAGAUCAAUGACUUCAAUAUUGUCCAAGAAAGAUUUCAAACAAGUAAGAGAGGUUACUAGAGAAUGAAACUUCUUGCAUAAGAAAGCAUACAAGGUUAUUUUCUAAUACCAGUUCCAACCUCUUAAAAUUCAAGGUGCUAAUCAUCUAACCACGACUUCUAAACUUCAAUAACUAUUAUCAAUGUGUCUCCAUUGACAAUACAUCAUAGAUGAUAGGAAAUUCUAAAUACAAUUCACAAAAAACCUGACAUAAGAGUAACUGGUGGAAAAAGAUAUUAUCAGUUUCAAAUUGAAAUUUUAAAAUUCAGAGAGCCAUGUGAAAAUGAAUUCCAAUAAAGUAUCAAUUUUGAAUAAACUAAUUUAGGGUUGGUUUUUAUUUUGGGAUCACGACUAUAUAACAAAGCUGACGCCUAGUAAACAUUGCAUCGAUACCUAAUCUUAUCACAACAAGUUAAAUAAUUUUUUUAACAGUUAAACUUGAACUUUAUCACUAAAUUAAAUAGAUUUAUUACAUUUUAUAUUUAAAUAAAAGAAAAUCUAAACUAUAGUUGUUUUUCUUGAGUUCGAAAAAAUGCCAGUGAGAUUAAUAACUCUCCAGUUAUCACCUCCGGCAAAACAUAUUUCGGUUAACAGCCAUUGAAAACAAAAGCAUUGAAGAAUUUAAUGAUACUAUCGUCCAAAUAAAACAUCAUUUUGAAACUAGUAUCAGAAACCAAGUCUGUUUUUAAAACUCAUGGUUAAUUUAUGUAAUCCAAUUAUGGUCCAGAUUGACCAAAGAGAUCAUACAGACAAUAUAAACUGGAAAACAAUUAACUCUCGCAAACGAAGAAAUUGCCUCAAAACAUUUCCAAUAGGAGUUUAGGGACAGAGUGCGUUUGCUUUUAAAAAUCAAUGCAUUUUGCUAUAAUAAAAAUGAUAAAGAAUAUACCAGUAAUAUAAGGGCCUGAAAAAUCAGUAAUCAGAAUCAGGCGAGUGAUACCGGUUGAGAUUAAAUAUCGCAAGUUUGAGUAAAUUUAUCUGACUGGAUCGUUAAAACCGAAAUCCAACCAAGAAGCUGACUUGCUUUUGAAACAAUCGUAAAAUUUUGAUCUACAGUAUUCAAUUACAGACCUAGUAAGAUACAAUUAGAGGUUUACCUAUGAUAAUGAGCAUGUUGAUGAUGAAAAUGUCGAAGAGGCGACUGCAGGUAUUUGAAGGAAAUUUUAGGGUUUGCACGUACUUUUCAUUUAACCGGUCAAGUCCCCUCCUCACGCAGCCCAUUACAACGGCCCG
rnacentral:lncRNA from 1 species